UGGGUAACCUGCCUGUAAGACUGGGAUAACUCCGGGAAACCGGAGCUAAUACCGGAUAGUUCCUUGAACCGCAUGGUUCAAGGAUGAAAGACGGUUUCGGCUGUCACUUACAGAUGGACCCGCGGCGCAUUAGCUAGUUGGUGGGGUAAUGGCUCACCAAGGCGACGAUGCGUAGCCGACCUGAGAGGGUGAUCGGCCACACUGGGACUGAGCACGGCCCAGACUCCUACGGGAGGCAGCAGUAGGGAAUCUUCCGCAAUGGACGAAAGUCUGACGGAGCAACGCCGCGUGAGUGAUGAAGGUUUUCGGAUCGUAAAGCUCUGUUGUUAGGGAAGAACAAGUGCGAGAGUAACUGCUCGCACCUUGACGGUACCUAACCAGAAAAGCCACGGCUAACUACGUGCCAGCAGCCGCGGUAAUACGUAGGUGGCAAGCGUUGUCCGGAAUUAUUGGGGCGUAAAGGGGCUCGCAGGCGGUUUCUUAAGUCUGAUGUGAAAGCCCCCGGCUCAACCGGGGAGGGUCAUUGGAAACUGGGAAACUUGAGUGCAGAAGAGGAGAGUGGAAUUCCACGUGUAGCGGUGAAAUGCGUAGAGAUGUGGAGGAACACCAGUGGCGAAGGCGACUCUCUGGUCUGUAACUGACGCUGAGGAGCGAAAGCGUGGGGAGCGAACAGGAUUAGAUACCCUGGUAGUCCACGCCGUAAACGAUGAGUGCUAAGUGUUAGGGGGUUUCCGCCCCUUAGUGCUGCAGCUAACGCAUUAAGCAUUCCGCCUGGGGAGUACGGUCGCAAGACUGAAACUCAAAGGAAUUGACGGGGGCCCGCACAAGCGGUGGAGCAUGUGGUUUAAUUCGAAGCAACGCGAAGAACCUUACCAGGUCUUGACAUCCUCUGACAACCCUAGAGAUAGGGCUUUCCCUUCGGGGACAGAGUGACAGGUGGUGCAUGGUUGUCGUCAGCUCGUGUCGUGAGAUGUUGGGUUAAGUCCCGCAACGAGCGCAACCCUUGAUCUUAGUUGCCAGCAUUCAGUUGGGCACUCUAAGGUGACUGCCGGUGACAAACCGGAGGAAGGUGGGGAUGACGUCAAAUCAUCAUGCCCCUUAUGACCUGGGCUACACACGUGCUACAAUGGACAGAACAAAGGGCUGCAAGACCGCAAGGUUUAGCCAAUCCCAUAAAUCUGUUCUCAGUUCGGAUCGCAGUCUGCAACUCGACUGCGUGAAGCUGGAAUCGCUAGUAAUCGCGGAUCAGCAUGCCGCGACCGCCCGUCACACCACGAGAGUUUGCAACACCUGAAGUCGGUGAGGUAACCUUUAUGGAGCCAGCCGCCGUAU
rnacentral:rRNA from 1 species